UUGCUGUGAUGACUUUCUUAGGACACCUUUGGAUUCAACAUGAAAAGAAAUUCUUAUUCUGAGCAAU
ensembl:snoRNA SNORD58 Small nucleolar RNA SNORD58